AGAGUUUGAUCAUGGCUCAGGAUGAACGCUAGCGGCAGGCUUAAUGCAUGCAAGUCGUGGGGCAGCAGGUCCCGCAGCAAUGCGGGAUGCUGGCGACCGGCAAACGGGUGCGGAACACGUACGCAACUUUCCUUCAAGCGGGGAAUAGCCCAGGGAAACUUGGAUUAAUACCCCAUAAAAUAGUAGGGUGGCAUCACCUAAUUAUUAAAGCUCCGGCACUUGAAGAUGGGCGUGCGCCUGAUUAGGUAGUUGGCGGGGUAACGGCCCACCAAGCCUUCGAUCAGUAACUGGUGUGAGAGCACGACCAGUCACACGGGCACUGAGACACGGGCCCGACUCCUACGGGAGGCAGCAGUAAGGAAUAUUGGUCAAUGGACGCAAGUCUGAACCAGCCAUGCCGCGUGGAGGAUGAAGGUCCUCUGGAUUGUAAACUUCUUUUAUCUGGGAAGAAACCCACGGUUUCUACUGUGGUUGACGGUACCAGGUGAAUAAGCACCGGCUAACUCCGUGCCAGCAGCCGCGGUAAUACGGAGGGUGCAAGCGUUAUCCGGAUUCACUGGGUUUAAAGGGUGCGUAGGUGGGUAGGUAAGUCAGUGGUGAAAUCCCCGAGCUUAACUUGGGAACUGCCGUUGAUACUAUUUAUCUUGAAUAUCGAGUAGGUAAGCGGAAUAUGUCAUGUAGCGGUGAAAUGCUUAGAUAUGACAUAGAACACCAAUUGCGAAGGCAGCUUACUUCAAGAUUAUUGACACUGAGGCACGAAAGCGUGGGGAUCAAACAGGAUUAGAUACUCUGAUAGUCCACGCUCUAAACGAUGGAUACUCGACAUCAGCGAUAUACUGUUGGUGUCUGAGCGAAAGCAUUAAGUAUCUCACCUGGGAAGUACGACCGCAAGGUUGAAACUCAAAGGAAUUG
rnacentral:rRNA from 1 species